rnacentral:lncRNA from 1 species
CGAGCGGCUAACUAUUAACAAAGAGUAGCUCGGUAUUAUAACUCUCAGGUCAAAGAAAAAUCUUUCUUGGCAGGGUAACUAGUCUUUUAUUGAGUUGAGGUCUCUUACUCUACCGAACAGUCAAAGCUUGCAUCGAAUUGGGAAGGCCUUUACCGCAUCGUCGAGAUAGUCUGACCAGGAGUUUAUCGACUUAGUUGGCUGGACGGAACACCAAUCCCC